rnacentral:rRNA from 1 species
CCUACGGGAGGCAGCAGUGGGGGAUAUUGCACAAUGGGGGAAACCCUGAUGCAGCGACGCCGCGUGGGCGAAGAAGUAUCUCGGUAUGUAAAGCUCUAUCAGCAGGGAAGUAGAAGUGACGGUACCUGAGUAAGAAGCAACGGCCAAAUACGUGCCAGCAGCCGCGGUUAUACGUCUGGUGCAAGCGUUAUCCGGAUUUACUGGGUGUAAAGGGAGCGCAGGCGGCACGGCAAGCCUGAUGUGAAAGCCCGCGGCCCAACCGGGGGACUGCAUUGGGACCUGCCGGGCUGGAGUGCCGGAGAGGUAGGCGGAAUUCCUGGUGUAGCGGUGAAAUGCGUAGAUAUUAGGAGGAACACCAGUGGCGAAGGCGGCCUACUGGACGGUGACUGACGCUGAGGCUCGAAAGCGUGGGGAUCAAACAGGAUUAGAUACCCCUGUAGUC